rnacentral:lncRNA from 1 species
CUAUCAUGGAGAUGGCUUCAUGUGCAUUUGAAGAAGCAUAUGUAUUCUGCUAUUUUUUGAUGAACUAUUUGGAUGAACUGUUCCAAAGUAUUCAAAGACUCUGAACUUAGUGCUGAUGUUACAAAGACAAGACCUGGUCAUGCCCUAAAAUUGCUUGGUGUCUCAUGGCUGAAGUUGAGGUAAACAUUAUAUGUUAAUAAAAAACAUUUGAUUAAAUGAGAA